AAAAUUACUUAAGUGACGGUAUCUAACCAGAAAGGGACGGCUAACUACGUGCCAGCAGCCGCGGUAAUACGUAGGUCCCAAGCGUUGUCCGGAUUUAUUGGGCGUAAAGCGAGCGCAGGUGGUUUCUUAAGUCUGAUGUGAAAGCCCCCGGCUCAACCGGGGAGGGUCAUUGGAAACUGGGAGACUUGAGUGCAGAAGAGGAGAGUGGAAUUCCAUGUGUAGCGGUGAAAUGCGUAGAUAUAUGGAGGAACACCAGUGGCGAAGGCGACUCUCUGGUCUGUAACUGACGCUGAGGCUCGAAAGCGUGGGGAGCAAACAGGAUUAGAUACCCUGGUAGUCCACGCCGUAAACGAUGAGUGCUAGCUGUAGGGAGCUAUAAGUUCUCUGUAGCGCAGCUAACGCAUUAAGCACUCCGCCUGGGGAGUACGACCGCAAGGUUG
rnacentral:rRNA from 1 species